GUGUGAGAGGUGUGGAGCUGCAACAUCAUUGUUUCAGAAACCUGACCAAUGAGAUGUGCCGUAAGAAAUCCCAUCAGGGGGAGUAUGCGCUGGCCGAUCAAGAGCACCGUCAUUCACGGUGGAGGCGUGGAGCAAUCAGCGGACCGCAUGGAGGCUCAAAAAAAU